rnacentral:tRNA from 1 species
UAUUCUGUGGCAGAGUUGGUUAAAGCGCCAGUCUAGGGAAUACGGAGUCGUGGGUUCGAAUCCCACCAGAAUGC